AUGGUGGGCCUCCAAAGUUGAUCCGUCUGCCAGCCAGUACCUGGAGGAGGCAGUACCAAGUACUCGGAUACAUUUCCCUAUAAGUCCAUAGGCUUAACACUAGCUAGAGACUUCUAGAGAUAUUUUGUAUGCCAGAUAAGGCCGUCGCAUACCAGAUAAGGCCGCAAUGGCCGUUCAACGUUACGUGGGGAAAUUGGAGAAAUCUAAAGACUUUUUUCUCUCUGACGUCUCCACUCCGCAACUGGCAAGCGUUGUUAGCAUUGGCUCGUGUCGUCGUAAAUAAGAUUUGUUUGACGGAUAUUCCGUUAGUUGAGUGUGUUGUUGUAAUUUCUGAGGCUGUAUGAGUUGGACGGAAUGGCGCCAUCCCGCCAAGUGCGAAAUCGGCGGUGUAUUGUGAAGGGUUGUGGAAAAACAAAGGCUGAUUGUCAUUUGUCCCGAUCUCAACUUCUUCCAUGCUCCGAAAAACCGUGUCAAGAGACUUGGUUGGGUGGCUGUCCUAGAAGAUGGCUUGGCGGACAAGCAGGUUGACGAAGCACUUGUGUGUAGCUGCCACUUCAACCCUCAAGAUCUUUUGCUUGGAGAAAGGGCUAGAACGUCACCACAUGCCGUACCGUCAAUAGCAGUCGUGGAAGGUAAACUUGAUAGGCGGCCGGCGCGCGCCCAUCGGCACCGGCGGCCGGCGCGCGACCAUCCC
rnacentral:lncRNA from 1 species